CUAUUUACCUGGCAGGUGAGGAAACUGAAAUCAGGAAGGUGGUUUUCCCAAGACAAGGUUUAGCCAUUGCACUCAGGGCGUGCUAACCCCUAGGGCUUCCACAUAUAGGAAACUUUUCUGCAUAAUUUGUGAUAGUGAGAGACUGUUAGUACUCCCC
rnacentral:snRNA from 1 species